AGUGCAAUUGCUGGGUCACAUAGUAGUUCUGUUUUUCACUUAUUGAAGAACUGCCAUACUCAUCCACAGUGGCUAUACUAUUUGAUAUUUGUACCAGCAAU
rnacentral:pre_miRNA from 1 species